GAUGAACGCUGGCGGCGCGCCUAACACAUGCAAGUCGAACGGCACCCCUCCUCGGAGGGAAGCGAGUGGCGAACGGCUGAGUAACACGUGGAGAACCUGCCCCCUCCCCCGGGAUAGCCGCCCGAAAGGACGGGUAAUACCGGAUACCCCGGGGUGCCGCAUGGCACCCCGGCUAAAGCCCCGACGGGAGGGGAUGGCUCCGCGGCCCAUCAGGUAGACGGCGGGGUGACGGCCCACCGUGCCGACAACGGGUAGCCGGGUUGAGAGACCGACCGGCCAGAUGGGGACGGAGACACGGCCCAGACUCCUACGGGAGGCAGCAGUGGGGAAUCUUGCGCAAUGGGGGGAACCCUGACGCAGCGACGCCGCGUGCGGGACGGAGGCCUUCGGGUCGUAAACCGCUUUCAGCAGGGAAGAGUCAAGACUGUACCUGCAGAAGAAGCCCCGGCUAACUACGUG
rnacentral:rRNA from 1 species